rnacentral:rRNA from 1 species
ACUUUCAGUCGUGAGGAAGGUAGUGUAGUUAAUAGCUGCAUUAUUUGACGUUUAGCGACAGAAGAAGCACCGGCUAACUCCGUGCCAGCAGCCGCGGUAAUACGGAGGGUGCGAGCGUUAAUCGGAAUUACUGGGCGUAAAGCGCAUGCAGGUGGUUUGUUAAGUUCAGAUGUGAAAGACCCGGGGCGUCAACCUCGGAAUUGCAUUUGAAACUAGGCAGACUAGAGUACUGUAGAGGGGGGUAGGAAGUUUCAGGUGUAGCGGUGAAAUGCGUAGAGAUCUGAAGGAAUACCGGUGGCGAAGGCGGCCCCCUGGACAGAUACUGACACUCAGAUGCGAAAGCGUGGGGAGCAAACAGGAUUAGAUACCCUGGUAG